rnacentral:rRNA from 15 species
GCGGCGGACGGGUGAGUAACACGUGGGCAACCUGCCCUGUAGACGGGGAUAACACCGAGAAAUCGGUGCUAAUACCGGAUAACACGAAAGACCGCAUGGUUUUUCGUUGAAAGGUGGCGCAAGCUGUCGCUACAGGAUGGGCCCGCGGCGCAUUAGCUAGUUGGUGAGGUAACGGCUCACCAAGGCGACGAUGCGUAGCCGACCUGAGAGGGUGAUCGGCCACACUGGGACUGAGACACGGCCCAGACUCCUACGGGAGGCAGCAGUAGGGAAUCUUCCGCAAUGGACGAAAGUCUGACGGAGCAACGCCGCGUGAGCGAAGAAGGCCUUCGGGUCGUAAAGCUCUGUUGUUAGGGAAGAACAAGUACCGCAGUCACUGGCGGUACCUUGACGGUACCUAACGAGAAAGCCACGGCUAACUACGUGCCAGCAGCCGCGGUAAUAC